rnacentral:snoRNA from 1 species
CUUUGUGCUGUGAUGAUAUUUUUUCUGGAUUAGAAUUUCUGAUCUUGCAUUUGAAGACAAACCCUUGGCUGUCUGAGCAUAAUU